rnacentral:rRNA from 1 species
GUGAGGGCGCAUGCUACACAUGCAGUCGAACGAAGGCUUCGGCCUUAGUGGCGCACGGGUGCGUAACGCGUGGGAAUCUGCCCUUUGCUUCGGAAUAACUUCGGGAAACUGAAGCUAAUACCGGAUAAUGUCGCAAGACCAAAGAUUUAUCGGCAAGGGAUGAGCCCGCGUAGGAUUAGGUAGUUGGUGGGGUAAAGGCCUACCAAGCCGACGAUCCUUAGCUGGUCUGAGAGGAUGAUCAGCCACACUGGGACUGAGACACGGCCCAGACUCCUACGGGAGGCAGCAGUGGGGAAUAUUGGACAAUGGGGGCAACCCUGAUCCAGCAAUGCCGCGUGAGUGAUGAAGGCCUUCGGGUCGUAAAGCUCUUUUACCAGGGAUGAUAAUGACAGUACCUGGAGAAUAAGCUCCGGCUAACUCCGUGCCAGCAGCCGCGGUAAUACGGAGGGAGCUAGCGUUGUUCGGAAUUACUGGGCGUAAAGCGCGCGUAGGCGGCUACUCAAGUCAGAGGUGAAAGCCCGGGGCUCAACCCCGGAACUGCCUUUGAAACUAGGUGGCUA